GACGAACGCUGGCGGCGUGCUUAACACAUGCAAGUCGAACGGUGAAGCUCCAGCUUGCUGGAGUGGAUCAGUGGCGAACGGGUGAGUAACACGUGAGCAACCUGCCCCUGACUCUGGAAUAAGCGCUGGAAACGGCGUCUAAUACUGGAUACGAGAAGGGCCCGCAUGGGCACUUUCUGGAAAGUUUUUCGGUUGGGGAUGGGCUCGCGGCCUAUCAGCUUGUUGGUGAGGUAAUGGCUCACCAAGGCGACGACGGGUAGCCGGCCUGAGAGGGCGACCGGCCACCCUGGGACUGGGACAAGGGCCAAACUCCUACGGGAGGCAGCAGUGGGGAAUAUUGCACAAUGGGCGAAAGCCUGAUGCAGCGACGCCGCGUGAGGGAUGACGGCCUUCGGGUUGUAAACCUCUUUCCGCAGGGAAGAAGCGAAAGUGACGGUACCUGCAGAAGAAGCACCGGCUAACUACGUG
rnacentral:rRNA from 1 species